rnacentral:lncRNA from 1 species
UUAAAACUGGGAAGGAGGAAGACGAGGCCAGGGAGCCGGAGGGUCACCAAGGUAGAUUUCCAGCAGCGCUAGUCCAGCUGAACACUUUCCAGCCUUGUUUUUCAGCAGCUUUGAGGAAAAGUAUAGUUCUGCUCCAUUGCUGUUGAACUUUUUUUUGGUCGUGACAUCAGAAAAAUAACCAAGUGAUCCGUAUGUGAAACUUUCAUUGUACGUAGCGGAUGAGAAUAGAGAACUUGCUUUGGUCCAGACAAAAACAAUUAAAAAGCACUGAACCCAAAAUGGAAUGAAGAAUUUUAUUUCAGGUAAACCCAUCUAAUCACAGACUCCUAUUUGAAGUAUUUGACGAAAAUAGACUGGUAAGUGGAUGCCUGUAUUU